rnacentral:tRNA from 1 species
GGAAAGAUGGCGGAGUGGUCGAUCGCGGCGGUCUUGAAAACCGUUGACCUGAAAGGGUUCGGGGGUUCGAAUCCCUCUCUUUCCG